rnacentral:rRNA from 1 species
CUGCUAUACAUGCAAGUCGAGCGCGGGAAGCAAGCUGAUCCUCUUCGGAGGUGACGCUUGUGGAACGAGCGGCGGACGGGUGAGUAACACGUGGGCAACCUGCCUGUAAGACUGGGAUAACCCCGGGAAACCGGGGCUAAUACCGGAUAAUACUUUUCAUCACCUGAUGGAAAGUUGAAAGGUGGCUUUUAGCUACCACUUACAGAUGGGCCCGCGGCGCAUUAGCUAGUUGGUGAGGUAACGGCUCACCAAGGCAACGAUGCGUAGCCGACCUGAGAGGGUGAUCGGCCACACUGGGACUGAGACACGGCCCAGACUCCUACGGGAGGCAGCAGUAGGGAAUCUUCCGCAAUGGACGAAAGUCUGACGGAGCAACGCCGCGUGAGUGAUGAAGGUUUUCGGAUCGUAAAGCUCUGUUGUUAGGGAAGAACAAGUGCCGUUCGAAUAGGGCGGCACCUUGACGGUACCUAACCAGAAAGCCCCGGCUAACUACGUGCCAGCAGCCGCGGUAAUACGUAGGGGGCAAGCGUUGUCCGGAAUUAUUGGGCGUAAAGCGCGCGCAGGCGGUCCUUUAAGUCUGAUGUGAAAGCCCACGGCUCAACCGUGGAGGGUCAUUGGAAACUGGAGGACUUGAGUACAGAAGAGGAGAGUGGAAUUCCACGUGUAGCGGUGAAAUGCGUAGAGAUGUGGAGGAACACCAGUGGCGAAGGCGACUCUCUGGUCUGUAACUGACGCUGAGGCGCGAAAGCGUGGGGAGCGAACAGGAUUAGAUACCCUGGUAGUCCACGCCGUAAACGAUGAGUGCUAGGUGUUAAGGGGGUUUCCGCCCCUUAGUGCUGAAGUUAACGCAUUAAGCACUCCGCCUGGGGAGUACGGCCGCAAGGCUGAAACUCAAAAGAAUUGACGGGGGCCCGCACAAGCGGUGGAGCAUGUGGUUUAAUUCGACGCAACGCGAAGAACCUUACCAGGUCUUGACAUCCUCUGCAAUCGGUAGAGAUACCGAGUUCCCUUCGGGGACAGAGUGACAGGUGGUGCAUGGUUGUCGUCAGCUCGUGUCGUGAGAUGUUGGGUUAAGUCCCGCAACGAGCGCAACCCUUGAUCUUAGUUGCCAGCAUUUAAUUGGGCACUCUAAGGUGACUGCCGGUGACAAACCGGAAGAAAGGUGGGGAUGACG